UACGAAGGGGGCUAGCGUUGUUCGGAAUUACUGGGCGUAAAGGGCGCGCAGGCGGUCUUCCAAGUCAGAUGUGAAAGCCCCGGGCUCAACCUGGGAACUGCAUUUGAGACUGGAGGACUAGAGUUCGGGAGAGGAGAGCGGAAUUCCCAGUGUAGAGGUGAAAUUCGUAGAUAUUGGGAAGAACACCGGUGGCGAAGGCGGCUCACUGGCUCAUUACUGACGCUCGAGGCGCGAUAGCGUGGGGAUCAAACAGG
rnacentral:rRNA from 1 species